GAUGCAGGCCAGACAGUCGCCGGUCGUUGCGUAAUGCGCGACGGGAGGAAGGUCCGGACUCCAUAGAGCGGGGUGACGGUUAACGGCCGUCCGCUGAAAGCCGCAAGGUAUAAGGCGAGGAACAGGGCCACAGAGACGAGCGUAUUAAGUUACGGUGAAACGCGGUAACCUCCACCUGGAGCAAUUCCAAAUAGGCACGCGUUGAUGUUGCUCGCGGAGCGUGCGGGUAGGAAGCUUGAGCGCUGGAGUAAUCCAGCGCCUAGAGGAAUGACUGUCAUAACAAGGCAACUUGUCGUAACAGAAUCCGGCCUAUCGGCCUGCUUCGAUU
rnacentral:RNase_P_RNA from 1 species